ensembl:lncRNA
AAACACAUUUCAUUACACCAAAAACUCAAAAUAAUGACCUUUUUAGAAACAUCAUAUGACCCCUUUAAGAGAUUUUUCUUUAUCUCAAGGUUAAAUAUCUUUGAAUUUGUUUUGAGUUGUGAAUUCAAAUUAAAUAAAAAUGGUAAUACUUGCAAUUACUCCCAAAACUUUGUUACAGAAGUCAGCAGCACUGUUUUUUCAAGGAAACACAAUUCUUAUUUUUGUGUUUCGUUUAUGACAGCUGAAUUCAGACAGUUCCACUUAUCGGAGUAAGUUUAAUCUAGUCUGUAUUCACAAAGUAUUGCUUUUAUUAAAUGUGAAUGAUGGUCUAUUAUUGAUAUGAUGUUGUUGUGUUUUUCUCUUUGUUAUCUUCAAACUUGCAGCGUUAUGGAUUUGCAGUCUAUGGAGAGUGUUGUUGGGUCUCUAAAUGAUGGAAUUGUCUCUAUCUGUAACAUCUUCAAGUCUCUCUUGGAUGCACAAGUUGAUCCCACCACUGGCAUGUGCAGUAAUUAUGAACAAAUCAGGAAGCAUAUUAUCCAAGCUGACCAUUUCCUGGAAAAAUCAGAGACAAUGAUUAAGGAAAAACUAAAAAAUUUAGAUGAAUGCAUGGAGCGACUUAUUCAAGAAAAAGGAAAUGCUGAGCAGCAGAACAAAGAAAAACGCAAUGCAAUGGAUAAAUUACACAUCGAGAAGAACUCUGCUGAAGAAUCAUUAAAGAAUUCUAAAGCAGCUUUGGAACAGGCUGAAAAAAUGAUAGCAUUGACAAAAGAUGAACUACAAAGACAGCAAGCUAGACAUAACACUGGCACAGGUGUAACAAUUGGAGGGGCGGUAGUGGCUGCAAUACCAAUUAUCGGAUGGAUUCCUGGUAUAAUAAUGAUGUCUGUGGGAGCUAGUGAAAUUGUUAAGGCUUCAA